GAUGAACGCUGGCGGCGUGCCUAACACAUGCAAGUCGAGCGAACAGACGAGGAGCUUGCUCCUCUGACGUUAGCGGCGGACGGGUGAGUAACACGUGGAUAACCUACCUAUAAGACUGGGAUAACUUCGGGAAACCGGAGCUAAUACCGGAUAAUAUAUUGAACCGCAUGGUUCAAUAGUGAAAGACGGUUUUGCUGUCACUUAUAGAUGGAUCCGCGCCGCAUUAGCUAGUUGGUAAGGUAACGGCUUACCAAGGCGACGAUGCGUAGCCGACCUGAGAGGGUGAUCGGCCACACCGGAACUGAGACACGGUCCAGACUCCUACGGGAGGCAGCAGUAGGGAAUCUUCCGCAAUGGGCGAAAGCUUGACGGAGCAACGCCGCGUGAGUGAUGAAGGUCUUCGGAUCGUAAAACUCUGUUAUUAGGGAAGAACAAAUGUGUAAGUAACUAUGCACGUCUUGACGGUACCUAAUCAGAAAGCCACGGCUAACUACGUG
rnacentral:rRNA from 1 species